CCUACGGGUGGCAGCAGUGAGGAAUAUUGGUCAAUGGGCGCGAGCCUGAACCAGCCAAGUAGCGUGAAGGAUGACUGCCCUACGGGUUGUAAACUUCUUUUAUAAAGGAAUAAAGUGAGGCACGUGUGCCUUUUUGUAUGUACUUUAUGAAUUAGGAUCGGCUAACUCCGUGCCAGCAGCCGGGGUAAUACGGAGGAGCGGAGCGUUAACCGGAUUUAUUGGGUUUAAAGGGAGCGGAGAUGGGUUGUUAAGUAAGUUGGGAAAGUUUGCGGCUCAACCGUAAAAUUGCAAUUGAUACUGGCAGUCUUGAGUACAGUUGAGGUAGGCGGAAUUCGUGGUGUAGCGGUGAAAUGCUUAGAUAUCACGAAGAACUCCGAUUGCGAAGGCAGCUUACUAAACUGCCACUGACAUUGAUGCUCGAAAGUGUGGGUAUCAAACAGGAUUAGAUACCCGUGUAGUC
rnacentral:rRNA from 1 species